UUAUACUGGUGAGAUGUUAAAGACAAGCAAGAACAUAGAUCACAUCUUUUAUCUUUAAUUGAAGAAAAAAAAACAGAUGAAAGACUGAAGACUUUAUGAACUCUCGGAGUUUACGGUGUCCCACAGCCAGUAUGAUGGGGGAGAAGGCAAUAAAGGCACUAUUGGAGAAACGUGCAAGAACCAGCAGCGCUCCAAUUCAUGCCUCUCCCAGCUGAAUCAUUUAUCACAACUGCUCCUCAUCAGUUCACCAGUCUGCAGCACAUAUAAACCCCAGUUCUUCAAACACUCAUCACUAGAUUGUUCCACCUUCCAGUGCAAUAACACGGCAGGCCUUCUUGUGUCUGUUUUCCAUGUUUUGCUGUGAGCUUACUCUGUUGUAUCCCUGAGUGUAUGCCAGGAUCACAUCUCCCCCAGUCUAUUCGUCUGCUCACUUCCUGCCUUGACCAUGCUCCCUUCCCACACUCUCCUACCCUAACCUCCAAUAAAACAUG